rnacentral:rRNA from 1 species
CCUACGGGAGGCAGCAGUGAGGAAUAUUGGUCAAUGGACGAGAGUCUGAACCAGCCAAGUAGCGUGAAGGAUGACUGCCCUAUGGGUUGUAAACUUCUUUUAUAAAGGAAUAAAACGAGGCACGUGUGCCUUUUUGCAUGUACUUUAUGAAUAAGGAUCGGCUAACUCCGUGCCAGCAGCCGCGGUAAUACGGAGGAUCCGAGCGUUAUCCGGAUUUAUUGGGUUUAAAGGGAGCGUAGAUGGGUUGUUAAGUCAGUUGUGAAAGUUUGAGGCUCAACCGUAAAAUUGCAAUUGAUACUGGCAGUCUUGAGUACAGUUGAGGUAGGCGGAAUUCGUGGUGUAGCGGUGAAAGGCUUAGAUAUCACGAAGAACCCCGAUUGCGAAGGCAGCUUACUAAACUGUGACUGACAUUGAUGCUCGAAAGUGUGGGUAUCAAACAGGAUUAGAUACCCUUGUAGUC